rnacentral:tRNA from 1 species
UCAAUAGCUCAGUGGUAGAGCAUUUGAUAAAUAUGUUAUAUAUUCUCAAAAUGCCCGGGUUCAAAUCCCUGUUGA